rnacentral:rRNA from 1 species
GAUGAACGCUGGCGGCGUGCCUAAUACAUGCAAGUCGAGCGAACAGACCUCUUUCUUGCUCCUCUCACGUUAGCGGCGGACGUGUGACUAACACGUGUCUAACCUUCCUAUUUUUCUUGUAUAACUUCGGGUAACCCUAGCUCAUACCGGCUAAUCUAUUGACCCGCUUGGUUCUUUAGUGUUUUACGGUUUUGCUGUCACUUAUAGAUUUAUCCGCGCGGCAUUAGCUUGUUGGUAAGUUAACGGCUUACCAAGGCUACGAUGCGUAGCCGACGUGAGAGGGUGAGCGGCGACAGUGGAAGUGAGAGACGGAAAAGAGGACUACGGGAGGCAGCAGUAGGGAAUGGAGCGCAAUGGGGGAAAGCCUGACGGAGCAAAGGCGGGUGAGUGAAGAAGGUCUGCGGAUCGUAAAACUGUGUUAGUAGGGAAGAACAAAUGUGUAAGUAAAUAAGCACGGAGUGACGGUAACGAAUAAGAAAGCAACGGCUAACUACGUG